CCUACGGGCGGCAGCAGUGAGGAAUAUUGGUCAAUGGGCGCAAGCCUGAACCAGCCAAGUCGCGUGAGGGAUGACGGUCCUAUGGAUUGUAAACCUCUUUUGUCGGGGAGCAAGGCCCGCCACGUGUGGCGGGUAGGAGAGUACCCGAAGAAAAAGCAUCGGCUAACUCCGUGCCAGCAGCCGCGGUAAUACGGAGGAUGCGAGCGUUAUCCGGAUUUAUUGGGUUUAAGGGGUGCGUAGGCGGAAGGUUAAGUCAGCGGUAAAAUGUCGGUGCUCAACACCGGCCUGCCGUUGAAACUGGUCUUCUUGAGUGAGCGAGAAGUAUGCGGAAUGCGUGGUGUAGCGGUGAAAUGCAUAGAUAUCACGCAGAACUCCGAUUGCGAAGGCAGCAUACCGGCGCUCAACUGACGCUGAGGCACGAAAGCGUGGGGAUCGAACAGGAUUAGAUACCCCAGUAGUC
rnacentral:rRNA from 1 species